UCUCCGUUGGUGAACCAGCGGAGGGAUCAUUACAGAGUUGCAAAACUCCCAGACCAUUGUGAACGUUACCUAUCCCGUUGCUUCGGCGGGCGGCCCGGGCCCCGCGCCCGGCGCCCCCCGGCCCCCCGUGGGCGCCCGCCGGAGGUAAACCAAACCCUUGAAUUGCAUGGCCUCUCUGAGUCUUCUGUACUGAAUAAGUCAAAACUUUCAACAACGGAUCUCUUGGUUCUG
rnacentral:misc_RNA from 1 species